AUGUAUAACUAUAAGAAAAAGGAAGGGAAAUUGUAUAAGAUUAAGAAAGUUAAGAUUAAGAAAGCUCAUAUAGAAAAGAAAAAGUAGAAAAGGAUUAGAAAAGAGGGAAUUCCUAAUCCAAUCAAAAACCCCAUUUUGGACUUAGUGUGGAUAGAGGAUCUUCCUAUGUUAUACUAUAUAACUCUCAUCCGUGAAAUAUAA
rnacentral:rRNA from 1 species